AGAAAAAACACAACAAGACUGGAUAAGAGAUAGAACAACAGCUCUAUAAAAUACAAUAAAAUCUCACAAUUACAACAAAAUAUUAUUUGAUAAGAAUAGAGAAUACCAUGAAUUUAAUGUUGGUGAUAUGGUGUAUGUGGAAAAUGGCAAUAAGCUGAACAGAAAAAAAUUAGAUCAUUUGAGAAUUGGUCCUUUUCAGAUUAUAGAAAAAAUAUCCAAAUCAAUAUAUAGAAUUGAUACUGGGCACAAGAAAACUGAGUCAAAUUUAUUUCAUGUCACGAAGCUUGUUCCAGUAUCCGUAUAUUUAUAGAUUUUCUUUUCCACUUUUAUAGAUUUUCUUUUCCAAGGGGGGGAGAUGUAAAGUAAAAUACUAUACUAUUUUCUUUAAUUUUUAGUUUGAAUGAAACCUAUUUUAUUUUAUUUUAUGAAACUAUUUUGUUUGUGGUAAAUGUGACAUUGGGUGUCAAGAUUAUUUUUCUAUUAAAGAAAAGAUGGAUGUUAUUUUAGUUAAAUAUUUCUUUAUUUAAAAUGUAACUCACAAUUGUGAAGAAAGAGAUAUCUAAGAAUAAACUUUAAUUGUCGUUUCUUCAUUUACAGAGCAACGCAAGUUUAUUCUUCAAACCUAUAAUUAGAGAAUAAUCUUAUAAAAGUAGAUGUAAAUAUUUCUUUGUAGACCUUGAUCCUCCAAAACCUCCAAUUGUGUCUAUAGAGACUAUUUCAAAUGGCUUCGUGGCCGGACCUAAGUGUGACAUAAAUCCAAUUUUCCCUUGUCCUCUUGAUUUAUUUUUUAUACAAAUCUCACAAUUCUUACUUAUUUUUUUGAUAUUUUCCGUCAAAUUUCUAGCUAGAAUAGAGAAUACCAUGAAUUUAAUGUUGGUGAUAUGGUGUAUGUGGAAAAUGGCAAUAAGCUGAACAGAAAAAAAUUAGAUCAUUUGAGAAUUGGUCCUUUUCAGAUUAUAGAAAAAAUAUCCAAAUCAAUAUAUAGAAUUGAUACUGGGCACAAGAAAACUGAGUCAAAUUUAUUUCAUGUCACGAAGCUUGUUCCAGUAUCCGUAUAUUUAUAGAUUUUCUUUUCCACUUUUAUAGAUUUUCUUUUCCAAGGGGGGGAGAUGUAAAGUAAAAUACUAUACUAUUUUCUUUAAUUUUUAGUUUGAAUGAAACCUAUUUUAUUUUAUUUUAUGAAACUAUUUUGUUUGUGGUAAAUGUGACAUUGGGUGUCAAGAUUAUUUUUCUAUUAAAGAAAAGAUGGAUGUUAUUUUAGUUAAA